rnacentral:lncRNA from 1 species
CUCCUGUUGAACGCUGUCGACACCAGGACCAAGCGGCCUCGGGCCGUGCGGCCGCUCUGUUUGUGGUGCUUGGGCAAUAAAAUUUGGGGCACGGACUGGCUCGGGAUUGUUCUUUCUCUCCAUGUGGCCCCCAUCCCUGUGCUGCCCCUUGUCCCCUUGCUGUCCCCAUCCCUGUCCCAUGUCUGUCCCUGUCCUACCCCUGUCCCCGUCUCGUCUCCAUCCCCUUGCUGUCCCCGUCCCGUUCCUGUCCCCCCCCCCCCCCCCCCCCCCCCCCCCGGCCGUUCCCGGGGUCAGGGCCGAGGGAAGGCCGCGGCCCACGGCCUCUGCCCCGGGCCCGGCGCCCCCUGCGUCACAGUGACGUCAGCGCCGUUACGCAACCCCCCCCCCGCCUCCCGGCCCCGCCCCCUCCUCCCGGCCCCGCCCCCUUCCCUCAGGCCCCGCCCCCUUCCCCCGGUCCCGUCCGGGCGCCCCCUGGCGGCUCCUCGGGCCCGCAUUUCCCAUCAGCCCCCGGGGCGGGCGGAAGAUGGCGGAGCCGCCCGGGGCCGCGGCCGAGGACUCGUGGGGCAAGCGCUGCUCGGGGACUGCGCCCGCAAGGGGAGCGUCGUGUCCCGCGCCAACAGCAUCGGCUCCACCAGCGCCUCGUCCGUCCCCAACACGGGUGGGUUUUGGGGGCAGGCCCCCAGUCGUUGCCUCUUCUGAGCCCUACAGUUGGGUUUUGGGGUCCAUCUCCUGGUCAUUGUCUCCUCCAUCCCCAUUAUGGGUGGGUUUUGGGGUCUGUCUCCCAGUUAUUCCCUUCUCCGUCCCCAUCACAGGUGGGUUUUGGGGUCUAUCCCUGGGUCAUUCCCUUCAUCCCCCUGCCCACUGCCUGGCCCCAUGUGGAGAAAGCCGGGGGUGCCCCAGGGGUGUCCCCGAGCUGCAACAGAGCUGCGGGAGGAGAGGGCCCAGCUUUAGCCCCCCAUCACGUGCUCACAUUUUUUUGUCGCCCCGCA